GACGAACGCUGGCGGCGUGCUUAACACAUGCAAGUCGAACGGACAGGCCCUGCUUUUGUGGGGUGCUCGAGUGGCGAACGGGUGAGUAACACGUGAGUAACCUGCCCUUGACUUUGGGAUAACUUCUGGAAACUGCGGCUAUUACCGGAUAGGAUCUCCUGCUCCACGGUGGGGGUUGGAAAGUUUCGGCGGUUGUGGCUCGACUCGAUGCUUAUCAGCUUGUUUGUGGGGUAGUUGCUUACAAGGGCUUCGACGGAUAGCCGGCCUGAGAGGGUGACCGGCGACAUUGGGACUGAGAGACGGACCAGUAGCCUACGGGAGGCAGCAGGGGGGAAUAUUGCAGAAUGGGGGGAAGCCUGAUGCAGCAACGCCGCGUGCGGGAUGACGGCCUUCGGGUUGUAAACCGCUUUCGCCUGUGACGAAGCGUGAGUGACGGUAAUGGGUAAAGAAGCACCGGCUAACUACGUG
rnacentral:rRNA from 1 species